UACGGGGGGGGGCAAGCGUUGUUCGGAAUUACUGGGCGUAAAGGGCUCGUAGGCGGCCAACUAAGUCGGAUGUGAAAUCCCCCAGGCUCAACCUGGGAACUGCAUCCGAUACUGGAUGGCUUGAAUUCGGGAGAGGGAUGCAGAAUUCCAGGUGUAGCGGUGAAAUGCGUAGAUAUCUGGAGGAAUACCGGUGGCGAAGGCGGCAUCCUGGACCGACAUUGACGCUGAUGAGCGAAAGCUAGGGGAGCAAACGGG
rnacentral:rRNA from 1 species